GACGAACGCUGGCGGCGUGCUUAACACAUGCAAGUCGAACGGAAAGGCCCUGCUUUUGUGGGGUGCUCGAGUGGCGAACGGGUGAGUAACACGUGAGUAACCUGCCCUUGACUUUGGGAUAACUUCAGGAAACUGGGGCUAAUACCGGAUAGGAGCUCCUGCUGCAUGGUGGGGGUUGGAAAGUUUCGGCGGCUGGGGAUGGACUCGCGGCUUAUCAGCUUGUUGGUGGGGUAGUGGCUUACCAAGGCUUUGACGGGUAGCCGGCCUGAGAGGGUGACCGGCCACAUUGGGACUGAGGUACGGCCCAGACUCCUACGGGAGGCAGCAGUGGGGAAUAUGGCACAAUGGGCGGAAGCCUGAUGCAGCAACGCCGCGUGCGGGAUGACGGCCUUCGGGUUGUAAACCGCUUUCGCCUGUGACGAAGCGUGAGUGACGGUAAUGGGUAAAGAAGCACCGGCUAACUACGUG
rnacentral:rRNA from 1 species